UCGGGUUGUAAAGCACUUUUGUCCGGAAAGAAAACCUCGUGGUUAAUACCCGUGGGGGAUGACGGUACCGGAAGAAUAAGCACCGGCUAACUACGUGCCAGCAGCCGCGGUAAUACGUAGGGUGCAAGCGUUAAUCGGAAUUACUGGGCGUAAAGCGUGCGCAGGCGGUUCGCUAAGACAGAUGUGAAAUCCCCGGGCUUAACCUGGGAACUGCAUUUGUGACUGGCGGGCUAGAGUAUGGCAGAGGGGGGGUAGAAUUCCACGUGUAGCAGUGAAAUGCGUAGAGAUGUGGAGGAAUACCGAUGGCGAAGGCAGCCCCCUGGGCCAAUACUGACGCUCAUGCACGAAAGCGUGGGGAGCAAACAGGAUUAGAUACCCUGGUAGUCCACGCCCUAAACGAUGUCAACUAGUUGUUGGGGAUUCAUUUCCUUAGUAACGUAGCUAACGCGUGAAGUUGACCGCCUGGGGAGUACGGUCGCAAGAUUAAAACUCAAAGGAAUUGACGGGGACCCGCACAAGCGGUGGAUGAUGUGGAUUAAUUCGAUGCAACGCGAAAAACCUUACCUACCCUUGACAUGUAUGGAAUCCUGCUG
rnacentral:rRNA from 1 species